GUGUGGCUAGCACAGGCUAUUCUAUGGCCUUGAACUGCCUCCAGAAACUGCAGACGGGAGGGGAGUACGCUGCCCACCCGCAACAGGACUGUGGGAGAUGCUGCUAGCAGAAAGAAAAUUACUGAGUCAGGAAAUUCCCACUCCUUUACCACCUCUUUUAUCUAUCUGAGAUCUUGAACACAGCAAUCUAGAGGGAUGGCAGCUCUGUUCCAGCCACUCUGAGCACACUCCAGGGAUGAAGAGCAUGGGCACCCGUAGAAGCAACCCCAGAGCAGGAGGAGGAAGCAGGAUCAGGUAACUUGGCAGCAAUCCAGGCCACCGAUAGAAAAAGAACCUCUUACCUGGUGUGCCCACCACACCAUGAUGUAGGAGAAUGCUGCAAUCCAGACGAUGGCUCCUAGAAAUGUGAU